AAAAAUGCACAGCCGAAGACAGCAGGUGUCGUAAGACGUAAGGAGAAAACGCCUGCCGAGGUAUCAAAGAUCUUUUUAUAUAAAAGAUUUCUGCGGGGGCCUCGUGUGUUUUCACGAAGCUCUUUUUUU
rnacentral:sRNA from 1 species